GACGAACGCUGGCGGCGUGCUUAACACAUGCAAGUCGAACGGAAAGGCCUCUUUCGGGGGGUACUCGAGUGGCGAACGGGUGAGUAACACGUGAGUAACCUGCCCUUGACUUUGGGAUAACUUCAGGAAACUGGGGCUAAUACCGGAUAGGAGCUCCUGCUGCAUGGUGGGGGUUGGAAAGUUUCGGCGGUUGGGGAUGGACUCGCGGCUUAUCAGCUUGUUGGUGGGGUAGUGGCUUACCAAGGCUUUGACGGGUAGCCGGCCUGGGAGGGUGACCGGGCACAUUGGGACUGGGAUACGGCCCAGACUCCUACGGGAGGCAGCAGUGGGGAAUAUUGCACAAUGGGUGGAAGCCUGAUGCAGCAACGCCGUGUGCGGGAUGACGGCCUUCGGGUUGUAAACCGCUUUCGCUCAUGACGAAGCUUUGUGUGACGGUAGUGGGUAAAGAAGCACCGGCUAACUACGUG
rnacentral:rRNA from 1 species